rnacentral:lncRNA from 1 species
UCAUGUUAUUCGACAUCAGCUGGUUGCUGGCUGGAAUUUGAGGAGAUCGUCACCGGCUAGUUGAAGAAGACGAAGGGGUCAACGGCGGCGACUGUGUUUGUGUAUUAUCGGCUGCUGCUGGUUUUCAGGAUGUCUAGGUUGGGAUAUUUAGGUUGUCUUGGGUCUUGUUGUUGUAUAAGAAAGGUCCAGUAGAAACGGCUGGAGGGGUGCUGUUUAUAGUUAAGAAAAAAACAUGGAAAAUGGCAGCUUUCUCUCUGAAGAAGAU